GGUUACCUCGCUGCCUUCCGGUGCUACCAACUCCCAUGGUGUGACGGGCGGGGAGGUGAAUGCCCGGGAACGUAUUCACCGCGGCGGCUGGGAGAAUCAAUAUCCUGGUGUACGCCUAAAUACUGGGGGAUAAUAAUGGACUUAUAUGUUUCCUGACCCAGCCUUAAACGGUGUACACUUGGUGUGGGGGGAAUUGACCCCCUCCGUGCCGCAGCUAACGCGAUAAGUGUACCGCCUGGGGAGUACGGCCGCAAGGUUAAAACUCAAAGAAAUUGACGGGGGCCCGCACAAGCGGAGGAGCAUGUGGCUUAAUUCGAUGCAACGCGAAGAACCUUACCAGGGUUUGAAAUGCAACUGCACGUCCCGUGAAAGCGGGAUUCCUUCGAGGGUGUUGCACAGGUGCUGCAUGGCUGUCGUCAGUUCGUGCCGUGAGGUGUUGGGUUAAGUCCCACAACGAACGCAACCCUUGUGUUUA
rnacentral:rRNA from 1 species